CACCAGGCCCUACCACGGGGAUCUGCGGGAGAGGGACAGAGGACACUGGGCGGGAUACAUGGGGAAGGGUUAGCACAGCAGGGCCCUGGGCGGGCACGGGGCCUGCCCUGUGGCUGCAAGUAUAUUAAUAGUUCCUGGGCCCCAAGCAGGCAGUGCCCACAUGCCUCCAAGCCCGUAUGGCCCGCAGGAAGGCAGCCCAGUGUCCACAGGGAGAGGAGGCCUCCGAGUUCCUGCUAAACCACUCAACAGCUUAAAAUACAACUAGCCCCUCUCCCUGUCCAGCCAGCUGCUAGUGGGAGGGGUGAAAUCCUACCCUGCUCCCCCAACCCGGGCACCGAACCAGAGCCCAGGAGGGAGAGAACAGCCGUCGAGUCCCGGCUAGCUGCUGGGACAGGACGAGGGCAGCGGCAGGAGGGGGCGGCCUAGAGAGGGGCCACACUCACAGCUGCGGUGGCAGCACCCAGGCCAGCCUGAGGCCCUAGGAGAGGAGAUGCCGGAACCUGCAAGGAGGAUGUGACCUGCCUGAUGGUUAUGGGUAACAAUAGCGACCAACAGUUAUUUCACGUUCCCUGCCCGGGGCUGGAACUGCCGCAGCUUCCCAGAUGUCUCUCCCACAGUGGCCGGAGGGAGCAGAAGCCAUUAGCUCUGUUUCACAGAUGAAGAGGCCGAGAUCUAAGCAGUAAAUCCCAGAGCCUGGAAGACCACAGGUGCAUGUUCAAAGCCAGGCCAUACCCCACCACACACGGGCCCCAGGGCCCCUCGCAGAGCUGAUGCAGUGCAACGCAGCCCACAUCUUGAGCUCAAAGUUCCAGCAGGCUCCAUCAGACCCCACAGGGGACUGGGCUCCCUAGGAGGAGGCAUCUUCUCCCAAGUCUGGGGCACAGGAGGACUAGCUGGAGGUGUGAACCCUGGUCGGCGCAACCAGGGCCCCAGGUAAAGACACAAAGGGCCCGACGGGUCCUGCCGCUGGCCAGCUGGGCACAAGCACUGCUGCCCGCACUGCGUGAGCUCUCUGUCCAGGCAACGCCCAGCACAGAAGAUAGAGGCCUGGCCUGAUCAUGCCCAGCGCCACACCGGCCACCUCAUCCCCAUCGCAAAUGCAGAGACUCUGGCACGUUCGUCUGGACUCCGGCUCGGCGGCUGGGUACUCUCAGCUCCCUCUCCUUCCAGAAAUAUCAAGUCAACCUGCUAAUGCCCGGAUGGCUGAGAAGACCUAGGGCUCAGCUGCCAGGAGCCCUGCACAGGCCACACACCUGCUCGGCCAGAAAUACCACCUUCCCCAGUGGCCUCGGCACAUGACGUCAUUUCUCAGUAGCACCCAGGGGCAGCUGUGCCAGCCUCCCCGGGGCACCACAGUGGAAGGAGAAUGUCACCCAGGGUGGGGAGGAAGGGCUGAGAGACACUGGCCUCUCACUCCCACCCCUUGACUGCUCUGAUCCGGUCUUCCACCCCUGCUGGCAAGACGAGAGGUGCCAGGGUCAGAGGGCCAGUGUCCCGAGGCUCUUGGAUCCAGGGCCAAGGCCAGGUGCAGGCGCAGCGGUAGCCCAGGCCCGGAGAACCUGGGGUUGCUGAUCCCACCCAGCAGAGCCCCGAGCGAGCAGGUAGCAACCCAGCCCUGAGGGAUGGCCAUUGGACGCAGGAGCUCCUAGCUUGGGCAACACAGUCACAGGAGUUGAGGAUGAACGUGACACAGGACAAAUACAGCGGGAAGUUGGAGAACCUGGGUCUCACCCCUGGGCCGGCCCCGCGUGCUUCGUGGCACCCACAGCCUAAGCCCCUCCCUGGGACUGUGCCCUCAGGGCCUCCCAGGACCACUGGCCCACCCAGAGCGGCGCUGCUCUAGCCUGUUUCAUCCAGAUGUGCCAGCAAGAGUGACAUCUAUCAGAUGCUCACCCUGUACCUAAGACUGUGCUGAGACCGCCACCCAGGCCUUGCCCAGGACCUGUAAGCAAGGGACUGUGACGCCUGUUAGGUGGCUUGGAAAACCAGGGCUUAGGAACAAGGAAAUCCUUGUCCGAGGGCAGGAAGGCGCUGUUGGACCAGGAAGCUGAAAGCGCGCCAGAGGCUAAGCCCUUCGGACACAAGCUGACUGGAGGAGCAAGAGGAGCUUAUCCUGGCCAACACCCCACUGCUCGAGUCUGGCAGACAGGGCGAUACACACAUUAGAAGACUUCGUUUUAAGGGAAAAAGAGAUCCAAGUUAGGAGUCAGAAGACUUGGGCUUUAAGAGUGGCUGUGGGUCGUAUAAGAUUUCUCCUUGGUGACACCCGGGGGUUGACGGAGAUGACCUCUUAGAUAACCAGAAAGCGAGAUCAGCUUCGCUGCUCUGCGAAAGCCAGCCGUGGAGCUGCACCUCCCUCACCGCCUAAGCCUCUCGGGAACCUCCCGGGCGAGGGAAGGGGUCCAAAGGUCGGACACAAGAAGAGUGAUUGCAAAGCCCCUUCCUACGCUGGUGGCGGCGGCGUGGUGCAAGAUUUGUGCAAGACUCCUCUCCCUCGGAUUGGGAGCAAGGGUCCCGCACCUUCAUAGCUCCCACGACACAGUCUGCAACUCAGCCCGCUGAGGGAGCUGCAAGGAACCUGCAAACGUCCCAGUCCCUGCAGAGACCCCCAAGAAAAAGCGCCCCCAAAACAGCCUGGGUUGCAGAUUUAUAAAUACCUCCUCCGCACAUGCGCAUUGGAAUUUACGAGUGGCCCAGGGAGCAACUCUGGCCCACUGCGCCUGCGCCUUCCGGCUCUUCCUUCAGGGCACAGGACCAGAGAGUGGGGUCCCAUGGUCCCGCAAAGAAGGAAAAACAAUGGGUCGGCAGCGGCCACGCGGUACCCGUUUCUCGCUUCUUACCUCGUAGUGCUUCAUGGCUCACUCCCACGGCGACUACAGUUCCGCGGGCUGCUGCCUAACUGCGCGCAACACAGCACACAGUCCCUGAAACGCUCGAUACUGCUGCGAGAGACUAAACGCAGCUCUGCGUCCGCCCCGCCCCUCCCGGCCGCGCGCGCCCCGCCGGCCAAUCAGGGCACGAGGCGACCACCUUCGCCCCUGCCCCUUGGGGCCGGUCCGAACCAGGACCAGGGCUAGCACCAGGGGAUUGACCAAUCAGCUUGCGAGACCCACCGAAGGGGGCGGAGCGAGUGCGGGAGGGGCUAAAGAGAAGAGGUUUGGCCAUCCACCAAUCCAAAGGAGGCUUCUGAGCCGCGCGUCCCUUUGCCCCGACCCCUGAUGGCGUCGCUGUGGAAACCAAGAUCCUGCUCCUGAGCCUUCAUCAGCUGUUGAACCAUCCAGAAUUCACGGGCCUGUCAUCAGAGACAUGAUGAGAAGUCCUUAAAGAUAGAUUGCUGAUUCAUAGGGGAGCAGGUGGAAGCAAGGGUGAGUCAGUGCUUGGAGCUCGGUCAUCCAGAUUCGGCUCUGGAAACUUCUAAAACUGUAGCCUUUGGGGAUCCCUGACUCCGAGUACAGGAAGCCAAGGCUAUGUGGUCUUCAGGACACUCCUUAUCUUUUUCACUGGUGCUAUCUGGGGAAAACAGGUGAAAACAUGAAGGUGUUUUGUAUGUAUGCCUUCAAAAGCAAGGAUCUGGCCAAACUCGGGGGCUCACACCUAUAAUCCCAGCACUUUGGGAGGCCAAGGCAAGCAGAUCACCUGAGGUCAGGAGUUCAA